rnacentral:rRNA from 1 species
UGGGGAAUAUUGGACAAUGGGCGAAAGCCUGAUCCAGCCAUGCCGCGUGUGUGAAGAAGGUCUUCGGAUUGUAAAGCACUUUAAGUUGGGAGGAAGGGCAGUAAGCGAAUACCUUGCUGUUUUGACGUUACCGACAGAAUAAGCACCGGCUAACUCUGUGCCAGCAGCCGCGGUAAUACAGAGGGUGCAAGCGUUAAUCGGAAUUACUGGGCGUAAAGCGCGCGUAGGUGGUUCGUUAAGUUGAAUGUGAAAGCCCCGCGCUCAACCUGGGAACUGCAUCCAAAACUGGCGAGCUAGAGUAGGGCAGAGGGUGGUGGAAUUUCCUGUGUAGCGGUGAAAUGCGUAGAUAUAGGAAGGAACACCAGUGGCGAAGGCGACCACCUGGGCUCAUACUGACACUGAGGUGCGAAAGCGUGGGGAGCAAACAGG